AACGCGAAGAACCUUACCCGGGUUUAAAUUGCAGUGGUUGUAGUCAGUAGAGAUAUUGGCGACCCCGCAAGGGGGCUGCUGUGAAGGUGCUGCAUGGCUGUCGUCAGCUCGUGCCGUGAGGUGUUGGGUUAAGUCCCGCAACGAGCGCAACCCUUGUCCUUAGUUGCCAGCGAGUCAUGUCGGGCACUCUGGGGAGACUGCCGUCAUAAGACGGAGGAAGGUGGGGAUGACGUCAAGUCAGCAUGGCCCUUACGUCCGGGGCUACACACGUGCUACAAUGGUCGGUACAACGGGCAGCGAGACCGCGAGGUGGAGCGAAUCCCUUUAAAGCCGGCCUCAGUUCGGAUUGCAGGCUGCAACUCGCCUGCAUGAAGUUGGAAUCACUAGUAACCGCAGAUCAGCUACGCUGUGGUGAAUGCGUUCCCGGGCCUUGUACACACCGCGUGUCU
rnacentral:rRNA from 1 species